rnacentral:rRNA from 1 species
AACGCUGGCGGCGUGCCUAAUACAUGCAAGUCGAACGGUCUUUCUAUGGAAGCUUGCUUCCACUGAGAAGAUAGUGGCGAACGGGUGAGUAACACGUGGGUAACCUGCCCAUAAGAGGGGGAUAACAUCCGGAAACGGGUGCUAAUACCGCAUAGUUUUCUUGAUCGCAUGAUUGAGAAAGGAAAGACGGCCUUUGUGCUGUCGCUUAUGGAUGGACCCGCGGCGUAUUAGUUAGUUGGUGAGGUAAUGGCUCACCAAGACGAUGAUACGUAGCCGACCUGAGAGGGUGAUCGGCCACAUUGGGACUGAGACACGGCCCAAACUCCUACGGGAGGCAGCAGUAGGGAAUCUUCCGCAAUGGACGAAAGUCUGACGGAGCAACGCCGCGUGAGUGAAGAAGGUUUUCGGGAAUCGUAAAGCUCUGUUGUCAGAGAAGAACAAGUUGGAGAGUAACUGCUCCAGCCUUGACGGUAUCUGACCAGAAAGCCACGGCUAACUACGUGCCAGCCGCAGC